rnacentral:rRNA from 1 species
AAAAGAGUGGGAAGAGCUUUGAGUAGAGGUGACAAACCUACCGAGCCCAGUUAUAGCUGGUUGCCUGUGAAAUGAAUAGGAGUUCAGCCCUUUAAGUUUUUCCCCCCUCACCUAUGCUUACGCUAAAAUUGAUUAAGGAAACUAAAGGCGUUAAUCAAAGGGGGUACAGCCCUUUUGAUAGAAGAAACAACUUUAUCAGGUGACCCAAGAUCAUAUUACCCAAGGAUUUCAAAUUAAGUGGGCCUAAAAGCAGCCAUCUUGUUAGAAAGCGUUAAAGCUCAAAUUAGCCAACAUCCUCAUAUACUGAUAUUACAUCUCCCUCCCUGCCCCUUACCAGGCUGUCUUAUGCCCCCAUAAGAACAAUUAUGCUAAAAUGAGUAAUAAGAAGAAUUUAAUUCUUCUCCUAGCACAUGUGUAAGUCGGAACGGACCUCCCACCGACUAUUAACCGACCCCAAACCCAGAGGGAAAUAGGCUUUAAAAACAAGAAAUACACCUAUUUUAUAUCGUUAAUCCCACACAGGAGUGCUUAAAGGAAAGACUAAAAGAGAAGGAAGGAACUCGGCAAACACAAGCCUCGCCUGUUUACCAAAAACAUCGCCUCUUGCCCCCAAAAUAUGAGAGGUCCCGCCUGCCCUGUGACUAUAAGUUUAACGGCCGCGGUAUUUUAACCGUGCGAAGGUAGCGUAAUCACUUGUCUUUUAAAUGAAGACCUGUAUGAAUGGCAUCACGAGGGCUUAGCUGUCUCCCAUCUCCAGUCAAUGAAAUUGACCUCCCCGUGCAGAGGCGGGGAUGACUACAUAAGACGAGAAGACCCUAUGGAGCUUUAGACCUAAAGUAAGUCACGUUUAAUAUGCUAUGAUAACAGCGAAAACUUAGUGAUAUUUACUGAAGUGUCUUUGGUUGGGGCGACCGCGGGGUAAAACACAACCCCCAUGUGGACCGGGGAUAUUAUCCCUAAUACUCAGAGCCUCUACUCCAAGUAACAGAAAUUCUGACUUUUCUGAUCCGGUAU